AUGUUUUUCUCUGCGCUUUCUUAAUCUCCCACCUCUACGUUCCCUUGACUUCAUUGAAAAAUUGGUUUAUUUCAACACCAGUUUUACUUGCAAUGUUUUUUUUUUUUUUUUUGGGGGGGGGGGCGGGAGGGCAGUGUCUGCUUAGGUCAAUCAACCGCUGCCUUCGGUUUAUAAACCGUGGGUAUGGGGAUCCCUGGGUGGCGCAGCGGUUUGGCGCCUGCCUUUGGCCCAGGGCGCGAUCCUGGAGACCCAGGAUCGAAUCCCACAUCGGGCUCCCGCUGCAUGGAGCCUGCUUCUCCCUCUGCCUGUGUCUCUGCCUCAUUCUCUCUCUCUCUGUGACUAUCACAAAUAAAUAAAAAUUAAAAAAAAUAAAAUAAACCGUGGGUAUGUGCUUACGGACUCAGGCUGCAGGGUACUCCCUCCGCGGAGCACAGAGCAACGAGAGCGGACGCCUCGCCGCUGCCCCAGCAUCUAGGAAACAGGGAUAAAGCCGCCCAACACUCAGGCGCGGGGGAGCUGAUGGAUAAUACUAAGAAACUAAAGUUUGUGUGGCCACCGAGGUGAAGAGACGGGGAAGUUCAGGGAUGCGUGUGCGGCGCCCCACCUAGAGCUGCUUGGAGGCGCCCCCUAGCCCUAGCCCUGGUCUGCGCGCCCCAGCCGCCCAGCGCUACGGCUCCGGCCGCCCACGAGCCGCGGGGGCGGGGGCGGGGACGCGCGCGGGGGCGGCGAGGACGCGCGCGGGGGCGGGGACCAGGAGCCACACCUCCCAGGGUGCAGUGCGCAGGCCCGGGCGCGCGCGCUCCGCUCGCUCCGAGCCCGGAGGACGCCGGCGCCGGCGGGGGCUCCACGGGGCCGCGCGGGAAGGCGCGCGUCCGUCGGGCGCUCGCGCGGGGCUAGUGAGGCGCCGCUAGGAGCUGCGGGCGGCCGCGGGCGUGCGGGAGCCCGGAGCGCCGCUGCCGCCGCCGCCGCCGCCGCCGUGGCGAGGCCGGGCGUAACCGCGCCGAGGGGCCGAGGUAACCGCGCUCGUCCGCGUCGCUCCUCGCCUCUGACCCCCCGCCCGAAAUCGCGCCCCCGGCUCGGGGCAGCUGCAGCCCCGCGAGCGGUCACGAAACCCGGCGGCCGAGAGCGUCUGGGGCCGCUCGGGUUGGCGGGAGGAGCGGGGCCGCAUCCCGCGGAGGAGAGCCCCGGCCUCGGGCGCUGUCGGCCGCGUCGGCGGCCUCUGGGCGGUCUCCUCGCGGUCCCUCGCGGAAGACAGGGACGGGCAGGAAACUGA
rnacentral:lncRNA from 1 species